rnacentral:rRNA from 1 species
UUGACGAGUGAACUUGUUCACGAAGUAACUGAUACCCUGCUUCCAAGAAAAGCCACUAAGCUUCAGCUUACAUUGAACCGUACCGCAAACCGACACAGGUGGGCAGGAUGAAAAUUCUAAGGCGCUUGAGAGAACUCGGGAGAAGGAACUCGGCAAAUUGACACCGUAACUUCGGGAGAAGGUGUGCCCAGAGUAUGUGAAUUCCUUGCGGAAGGAGCAGAAAUGGGUCGCAGAGAAAUGGGGGCUGCGACUGUUUAUCAAAAACACAGCACUCUGCCAAGACGAAAGUCGACGUAUAGGGUGUGACGCCUGCCCGGUGCUGGAAGAUUAAAUGAUGGGGUGCAAGCUCUUGAUUGAAGUCCCAGUAAACGGCGGCCGUAACUAUAACGGUCCUAAGGUAGCGAAAUUCCUUGUCGGGUAAGUUCCGACCCGCACGAAUGGCGUAACGAUGGCCCCACUGUCUCCUCCCGAGACUCAGCGAAGUUGAAGUGUUUGUGAAGAUGCAAUCUCCCCGCUGCUAGACGGAAAGACCCCGUGAACCUUUACUGUAGCUUUGCAUUGGACUUUGAACAGACUUGUGUAGGAUAGGUGGGAGGCUAUGAAGCGGUGACGCCAGUCAUCGUGGAGCCGCCCUUGAAAUACCACCCUGGUGUGUUUGAGGUUCUAACCUUGGUCCAUUAUCUGGAUCGGGGACCGUGCAUGGUAGGCAGUUUGACUGGGGCGGUCUCCUCCCAAAGUGUAACGGAGGAGCUCGAAGGUUACCUAGGUACGGUCGGACAUCGUACUGAUAGUGUAAUGGCACAAGGUAGCUUGACUGCGAGACUGACAAGUCGAGCAGGUGCGAAAGCAGGACAUAGUGAUCCGGUGGUUCUGAAUGGAAGGGCCAUCGCUCAACGGAUAAAAGGUACUCCGGGGAUAACAGGCUGAUUCCGCCCAAGAGUUCACAUCGACGGCGGAGUUUGGCACCUCGAUGUCGGCUCAUCACAUCCUGGGGCUGUAGCCGGUCCCAAGGGUAUGGCUGUUCGCCAUUUAAAGUGGUACGUGAGCUGGGUUCAAAACGUCGUGAGACAGUUUGGUCCCUAUCUGCAGUGGGCGUUGGAAAUUUGAGGGGGGCUGCUCCUAGUACGAGAGGACCGGAGUGGACAGACCUCUGGUGUACCGGUUAUCACGCCAGUGGUAUCGCCGGGUAGCUAAGUCUGGAAGAGAUAACCGCUGAAAGCAUCUAAGCGGGAAACUUGCCUCGAGAUGAGAUUUCCCUGGGAAUUUAAUUCCCCUGAAGGGUCGUUCAAGACCAGGACGUUGAUAGGUCGGGUGUGGAAGCGUGGUAACACGUUAAGCUAACCGAUACUAAUUGCCCGUGCGGCUUGAUCC